GCUGAGGAGUCUCAUAAUAGGACGAAACGGCCGUCC
rnacentral:hammerhead_ribozyme from 1 species